rfam:Lupinus angustifolius cultivar Tanjil contig_9926, whole genome shotgun sequence.
GCGGUGAUAGCUUAGUUCUGAGAGCUUCAGAUUGAAGACCUGUAGGUCGCAUGUUCAAUCCAUGCUAUUCUCU